rnacentral:lncRNA from 1 species
AAUGAUCUAUAACUUGGGAUGGAGGGAGUAGAUAUUUCGUGCAUAGUUUUUCCGACUUAUAAAAAAUUUUAAAUCCAAUGUGAUGCGCGUCAUGUUUUCUUUUCUUCCAACUCUCUACAGUACAUUUUAUUCAUUCAAUUUAUGUUCACCUUCUGCUCUAACUCCGGCAACAUUUAACACAUUUUCCUCUAUCUCCCCGUGAAAUCGGGCUUCUCCAAUGAUUUAAGGUUAGAGAUUUUAGAGAGAAUGGUGAUCGGGGUAGCAAGGCUACCACCACCCUGAAAACGACUAGGGGGUGUUUGGUUCCUCUGACUUAUUUUUAGCACCCAUCAC